rnacentral:misc_RNA from 1 species
AACCUCAAUCCCGCCCGGUUUUUCGACCGGACGUCGGACUUGGACAUGGGCGUCUGCCAGUCAAAUGGCUCGCCUCAAAUGACUUAGUGGGAUCGCUUGCAUCCGUGACAGACGUAAUGAGUUUCGUCUUGUCCCUUGCUCCAGCGUGUGCCCGCUCAGAACCAAGCUGCCCUUACCGGCGCAAUCUUUUU